AUUGAACGCUGGCGGCAGGCUUAACACAUGCAAGUUGAGAGGGGUGAUGGUGCUUGCACUAUCACUUAGCGGCGGACGGGUGAGUAAUGCUUAGGAAUCUGCCUAUUAGUGGGGGACAACAUCUCGAAAGGGAUGCUAAUACCGCAUACGUCCUACGGGAGAAAGCAGGGGAUCACUUGUGACCUUGCGCUAAUAGAUGAGCCUAGGUCGGCUUAGCUAGGUGGUGGGGUAAAGGCCUAACAAGGCGACGAUCUGUAGCGGGUCUGAGAGGAUGAUCCGCCAAAUCGGGACUGAGACACGGCACAGAGGCCUACGGGAGGCAGCAGUGGGGAAUAUUGGACAAUGGGGGGAACCCUGAUCCAGCCAUGACGCGUGUGUGAAGAAGGCCUUAUGGUUGUAAAGCACUUUAAGCGAGGAGGAGGCUCUUUUGGUUAAUACCCAAGAUGAGUGGACGUUACUCGCAGAAUAAGCACCGGCUAACUCUGUGCCAGCCGCCGCGGUAA
rnacentral:rRNA from 1 species